rnacentral:rRNA from 1 species
UUACGGGAGGCAGCAGUGGGGAAUCUUCCGCAAUGGACGAAAGUCUGACGGAGCAACGCCGCGUGAGUGAUGAAGGCCUUCGGGUUGUAAAGCUCUGUUAUCGGGGAAGAACACUUUCCAUGUAAAUAAUGUGGAGAGAUGACGGUACCCGAGGAGGAAGCCACGGCUAACUACGUGCCAGCAGCCGCGGUAAUACGUAGGUGGCGAGCGUUGUCCGGAAUUAUUGGGCGUAAAGCGCGCGCAGGCGGGAAAGUAAGUCUACUCUAAAAGUGCGGGGCUCAACCCCGUGAUGGGGUGGAAACUGCUUUUCUUGAGUGCCGGAGAGGAAAGCGGAAUUCCCAGUGUAGCGGUGAAAUGCGUAGAUAUUGGGAGGAACACCAGUGGCGAAGGCGGCUUUCUGGACGGUGUCUGACGCUGAGGCGCGAAAGCCAGGGGAGCGAACGGGAUUAGAUACCCGGGUAGUCCA